rnacentral:rRNA from 1 species
CCUACGGGUGGCAGCAGUAGGGAAUAUUGCUCAAUGGGGGAAACCCUGAAGCAGCAACGCCGCGUGGAGGAUGAAGGUUUUAUGAUUGUAAACUCCUUUUGUUAGAGAAGAUAAUUACGCUAUCUCACGGAUAUUAUCCGGCUAACUCCAUGCCAGCAGCCGCGGUAAUACGGCGGGUGCAAGCGUUACUCGGAAUCACUGGGCGUAAAGGGUGCGCAGGCGGGGUGGUAAGUCAGAUGUGAAAUCCUGUAGCUUAACCGCAGAACUGCAUUUGAAACUAUGAGUCUAGAGUGUGGGAGAGGUAGGUGGAAUUCGUGGUGUAGGGGUAAAAUGCGUAGAUAUCAAGAGGAAUACUCAUUGCGAAGGCGGCCUACUGGAACGUUACUGACGCUGAUGCACGAAAGCGUGGGGAGCAAACAGGAUUAGAUACCCCUGUAGUC